GACAGAGGGUGCAAACGUUGUUCGGAAUUACUGGGCGUAAAGCGCGUGUAGGCGGCCAUCUAAGUCGGGCGUGAAAUCCCACGGCUCAACCGUGGAAGUGCACUCGAAACUGGAUGGCUAGAGUCCUGGAGAGGAAGGUGGAAUGCUUGGUGUAGAGGUGAAAUUCGUAGAUAUCAAGCGGAACACCGGUGGCGAAGGCGGCCUGCUGGGCAGUAGCUGACGCUGAGGCGCGACAGCGUGGGGAGCGAACAGG
rnacentral:rRNA from 1 species